rnacentral:rRNA from 1 species
GACGAACGCUGGCGGCGUGCUUAACACAUGCAAGUCGAACGUGAGUCGCACGGGUGAGUAAUACGUGGGUAACCUGCCCUUUCUUUGGGAUAAGCCUUUGAAACGGGGUCUAUUACCGAAUAGGAUGGGCUCGCGGCCUAUCAGCUUGUUGGUGGGGUGAUGGCCUACCAAGGCGGUGACGGGUAGCCGGCAUGAGAGGGUGACCGGCCACAUUAGGACGGCGAUACGGCCAAGACUCGUACGUGAGGGAGCUGUGGGGGAUAUUGCGAAAUGGGCGAAAGCCUGAUGCAGCGACGCCGUGAGGGGGAUGAAGGCUUUCGGGUUGUAAACCUCUUUCGAUAGCGAACGGGUAGGUGGAGAAAAAGCGCCGGCUAACUACGUGCCAGCCGCCGCGGUAAUUC